rnacentral:snoRNA from 1 species
AGCCUCCUGGUGCUUACCACAGGCUAUGUUCUUACACUGACUAUAGAAAGAGGAGGGAAAGAAAACCUACCCCAUAUAUGCCUCAGCCCAGUCCCUCUGCCUGGACUGUAGUCUAUAUUUUGAAUGGGAAAACAUGG